UCUCUCUUCUCAUCCGGUAACGACGCCUCCUCUCAUUUCUCUUCUUUUCUUUUCACCUUCUUAAUCUUCUUUCACUUUUCUUCUCCCCGACAUUGACCACCGCCGCCCCGACUCCUUAAGCGCAGCAACUCCCAACGACGCCGCCCCGACCAAGUUAGUUUUUGUGUUUCCUUCAUUUUUCGUCGUCUUCAACAUUUGAAUGCAUGAAAUGGUUUUAGGAUUUAGGGUUGUUUUGUGUAAAUGUUGAAUGGUUUGGUUUGAAUGUUGGAUAUGACCAGCUCAGAUUGCAAUUUGCGCUCCCACGCAAACGUAUUUUGCGCCCCACGCUCUCAUCUGUUAGACAUAGGUUUCCGCUAGCUCCAAUAGAUGUUAUGUGUUAGCCUCCGCUGAUUUACAACUUAAUGAAAUUUGUAAUCUCCUCGGAAAAUGAUAACUUCGGUUAUGUGAUGGUUUCCUCACGAGAGAGAAUGUGAGAGAUAUUUUUUUUCUUUGAUGAUAAUAAACGGAUAGUCUGUAUUGCAACUCAAUUCUUGGUAUGCUUGAGUCUCUUUUCAAUCUAAGUUAAAAAAUCUAGACUCAGUUCUUAUUUUGAUAAUGCCUUUUCCGUUUUCAACUUCUCUAUUUCGACUGAGCAUCGCAAAUGGUUCUUUUGGUGAGAUCUGGAUCCGGCCUUCUCAUGGUUUAUUCCGUUUUUUAACACUUUGUCUAGGGUUUCUGGUGCUUUGUAUUUUUACUGACUUGUGCAUCUUUGAAUAUCAUCAUUUUAUCUUCCCGGAAAAAGUUUUUGUUUUGUAAGUAUUCCUUUUAUUGCUAGAAGUUGCUCUUGCUUUGUAUCUGGAUCGGAAGUUAGGAUUUGAUGGAUCUACUGCAAUACAAUUAAUGUGUCUUAUUUAUAAUCAUCUUAUUAUUACACUAUUUCUUAGAUUACUUAGAGUUCUCUUCUCACUCUCACACACACAUGGACAACUCACUCAUGGGUCAUUUCCAUCCGAACCACUGACUUAUUAAGAGAAAUAUGCUCUUCUUCCAUCUGGAGCCGAAUCACUGAACAAGUCUUUCUACGAUCUUUGACCGGAUUCAUUGUCUGCUUUAUAUUUUUUAUUUUAUCAAUUGCAUCGACCUGAACCCGAAACGAAAAAGCUCUCUAGCUUUCGCUUCUGAACCUUCCCUUAUUCGAUAGGGCGACCCUGAAAGUCAAGACGACCUACUUUUAUCUUUCCUAUUCCUCACAAAUCAUUGUUUGGUCUAUCUUAUGGGUUCUUAUAUCUAGUACUUGUUAUUAAUAAAUUUAGGUGGUUGACUUUAUUUUUUGUUUGUCUGUUUAACCAUGUAUCCAGUCAAUGUGUGUUGAGAGAAGAAACUUGGACAAUCUAGAGAGUGACAAUCUAGAGAGUGGUAUUAUUGCUGGUCUGGAAAUAGAUAAGAACAACCAAAAGAGGGGAGGAGUAAUUGACAUGGAAUCUGAAUCAUUGGCAUUUGUUGUUGAAGUGAUUAACUUUGCAAUGUCUUUAAUGCCUUGGUCUUGCAAAAUACCCAUAUGUGAAGGAUACCAUGAAUGAAUUUAUGUAGAAAGUACUAGUUUUGCCAUUGUAAGUAAAAUACCUUUUUUUCUUUCUUUCAACACUAGAGUGAGUGGUGAGGCAACCUGCAUGUUUGUUAUAUGUUUCAAUUGCUUGAAAAUCGAUCUAGAAAAUGCCUGAUUCAAUUUACGGCAAGAAAAUGCAUACGUGAUCAAAUAUGUGCUUCACCAAUUUGUCUCAAAGCAAUUUAUCUAGGAAAGAGGAGGGGGUUGAGUGAAGGCUGAUUUUGGAGUGGCAGUUAUCAAUGGGAAGCUUCUUGUCAUAGUUGGUUACUACUCCAUGAUAGAUGAUGGAGAACGAUGAUGGAGAACGAUAUGCAUCUUCAGAUGUUUAUCAGUAUGAUCCACGCCUCAAUAGGUGGAGUAAGUUAGAAAACAUGAACAUUGCACGGUAUGACUUUGCGUGCUCCGAAGUGAAUGGAAUUGUUUAUGCAGUCGGGGUUAUGGAAGGAAUGGUGAGUCCCUCUCUAGUGUGGAGGCAUACAACCUAGAUGAUGACAAGUGGAAGGUAAUUGAAAGCCUUCGUCAGCCUAGGUGGGGUUGCUUUGGGUGCAGUUUUGAGGGACAGUUUUGAGUGAUUCCUUCUCCAUUACUAAUGUAUUUGUUUGUUGAUUGGUAAAAUGGCAGUUGACGGGUGAGGUGAAAAAGAACAAGUACAGUAGGAGAAGGCCAGAUGAAGGGUGGAAUAUUACAGUUGAGAAGCUUGGGUCAACUAGCAAACGUGGAAAUGAUGGAUGAUGGAGAUUCUGUAACAAAUUGGAUUGAUCCAGCCGACCUCUCAAUGAAAUUGAGAAGAUUUACAUCAAACAAGAGACCCACGCAGGCGUCGCGAGAUUAAGUUUAAGUUUUUGUUAGUCAAAUGCUGAUGAAAACUAGUUUAAGUUUCCCUAUCUUUUGGUUGUUCAUUGAAGAAGUUCAAAUGAUGUAGUAGCAUUUGAAAUUUGAGCAUAACACAUGUUUUUUGUUACUAUCUAUUACGAAUAGUACUUGUAUUGAAUUUUGAUUGAUUAUUUGGAAUUAA